rnacentral:rRNA from 1 species
UGAAUACGAGAUGCUACGGCGUCGAAGCAGUCUAUGUCAUACUUCCAAGAAAAGCUUGCACUGUCAUAAACAAAUAAUGCCUGUACCAUAACCGACACAGGUGGGUAGGUAGAGUAUACUAAGGGGCGCGAGAUAACUCUCUCUAAGGAACUCGGCAAAAUGACUCCGUAACUUCGGGAGAAGGAGUGCCUUAUUUAUAAGGUUGCAAUAACAAGAUCCAAGCAACUGUUUACCAAAAACACAGGUCUCCGCUAAGUCGUAAGACGAUGUAUGGGGGCUGACGCCUGCCCAGUGCCAGAAGGUUAAAGAAGUUGGUUAGCAUCCGCGAAGCUGAUAACUGAAGCCCUGGUGAACGGCGGCCGUAACUAUAACGGUCCUAAGGUAGCGAAAUUCCUUGUCGGGUAAGUUCCGACCCGCACGAAAGGCGUAAUGAUUUGGAUACUGUCUCGGAGAGGGGCUCGGUGAAAUAGACUUGUCUGUGAAGAUGCGGACUACCUGCACCAGGACAGAAAGACCCUAUGAAGCUUUACUGUAACCUGAAAUUGAAAUUGGACUUUACUUGCGCAGUAUAGGUGGGAGGCGUUGAGAAUAUUCUUGCGGGAUUAUUGGAGCCAUCAGUGAGAUACCACUCUUGUAAUGUUAGAUUUCUAACUUUGUAUCAUUAUCUGGUCAAAGAACAGUUUCAGGCGGGCAGUUUGACUGGGGCGGUCGCCUCCUAAACGGUAACGGAGGCGCACAAAGGUUUCCUCUGAACGGGUAGAAAUCGUAUCUAGAGUGUAAAGGCAUAAGGAAGCUUGACUGUGAGACCUACAAGUCGAGCAGGGACGAAAGUCGGUCUUAGUGAUCUGACGGUGCUGAGUGGAAAGGCCGUCACUCAACGGAUAAAAGUUACUCUAAGGAUAACAGGCUGAUCUCCCCCAAGAGUUCACAUCGACGGGGAGGUUUGGCACCUCGAUGUCGGCUCAUCGUAUCCUGGGGCGGUAGUACGUCCCAAGGGUUGGGCUGUUCGCCCAUGAAAGCGGUACGCGAGCUGGGUUCAGAACGUCGUGAGACAGUUCGGUCCAUAUCCGGUGUAGGCGUUAGAAUAUUGAGAGGAGCCUUCUUUAGUACGAGAGGACCGAGAAGGACAUACCUCUGGUGUACCAGUUAUCGUGCCAACGGUAAACGCUGGGUAGCUAUGUGUGGAGUGGAUAACCGCUGAAAGCAUCUAAGUGGGAAGCCCACCUCAAGAUAAGUAUUCUCAU